GCCGGGGUGGCGGAAUUUGGCAGACGCGCCAGUUUGAGGGACUGGUGGGCGAAAGCCUGUGCGGGUUCAAGUCCCGCCCCCGGUG
rnacentral:tRNA from 1 species